AUAUCAUUAAGCGGAGGAAAAGAAACUAACAAGGAUGCCCUUAGUAACGGCGAGUGAAGUGGGCAAAGCUCAAACUGAAAAUCGGUUCCCCACGCGGGGUUUCGAAUUGUAGUCUAUAGACGCGCUAUCAGCACUGGCCCGGGUAUAAAUCUUUUGAAACAAGGUGUCAUAGAGGGUGAGAACCCCGUCCAUGACUCGGUGUCCGGUGCGUACGAUGCGUGUUCAAAGAGUCGGGUUGCUUGGGAUUGCAGCCCUAAGUGGGUGGUAAAUUUCAUCUAAAGCUAAAUAUUGACGAGAGACCGAUAGCGAACAAGUACCGUGAGGGAAAGAUGAAAAGAACUUUGAAAAGAGAGUUAAAAAGUACUUGAAAUUGUUAAGAGGGAAGCACUGGAAACCAGUAUUACUGGGUAUUGUACUCGCUUAUCGGUGGCUUGGCGGUAGUGCGCCGUGAGUUUAAACCGCGGUUGUGCUGCCAAAAGGUCGCUGGUGGGUCUAGCAGUGCCUGGUAGGUCAAAAUCAAUUUGCCUCGUGGGAGAAAGCUGUCGGGAAGAUAGGGCGGAGGGGCAACCCAAUGCCUGUUACAGCCUGGCAGUCCUACCAUGGGGUGGAUUGA
rnacentral:rRNA from 1 species